GCCCUCGUAGCUCAUCUGGAGAGAGCGCCGGUCUACGAAGCCGGAGGCGGCAGGUUCGAGUCCUGCCGAGGGCAC
rnacentral:tRNA from 1 species